rnacentral:lncRNA from 1 species
GCUCUGUUGGUUUAUUAUCAGCGGUUAAAGCAAACACUCUUCCGCCGGUAGUGCGUGGUACUGUGUUUGCCCCAGUAGCAGGUGUAUCAUCCCUGGAUAAAUGUCCGGGUUGUUUACAUCUAAAACAACCUCCUGUGAGUUUGAGGCAUACGCCAUCAUGCGGUCGCCCACAUUUGUUGCAUAAGGGGCGAGAUUGCUGCUGGUUUUGCGGAGGAGUAGUUUUACUGUUUUGAGAACCCCCAUGUUGGGUCCCAUUGUUCCGAUUGGAAUUUGACUUUUGGUGUUCAGUGGUUGGGGUUUGGGAAGAGGAUUGUCCAGUGAUCAGGGUGGGAUUAUUCAUGAGGUUUUGUACUGCAUUUGCUACUUCAGUGACAUCUUUAAAUUCUUGA